rnacentral:precursor_RNA from 11 species
GAGUCCUGGAUGUUUGGGGACAGUUCUUCCUUUUAGACUGGCACUCCUAGAAUCUCUCCGAACAUCUAGGAGCGAAACUCUAAAAGAAGAACCUCUCUCCCUCUGCUUUGAAAGUCC